AUUGAACGCUGGCGGCAUGCCUUACACAUGCAAGUCGAACGACGCUAGGGGCAACUCUAGCGAGUGGCGAACGGGUGAGUAAUACAUCGGAACGUGUCCUGUCGUGGGGGAUAACCAGUCGAAAGAUUGGCUAAUACCGCAUGACCUCGUAAGAGAAAAGCGGGGGACCGCAAGGCCUCGCGCGAUUGGAGCGGCCGAUGUCGGAUUAGCUAGUUGGCGGGGUAAAAGCCCACCAAGGCGACGAUCCGUAGCUGGUUUGAGAGAACGACCAGCCACACUGGGACUGAGACACGGCCCAGACUCCUACGGGAGGCAGCAGUGGGGAAUUUUGGACAAUGGGCGCAAGCCUGAUCCAGCCAUGCCGCGUGUGUGAAGAAGGCCUUCGGGUUGUAAAGCACUUUCGGGCGGAACGAAAUCGCGCGGGUUAACAGCCCGCGUGGAUGACGGUACCGCAAGAAGAAGCACCGGCUAACUACGUGCCAGCAGCCGCCGUAA
rnacentral:rRNA from 1 species